rnacentral:rRNA from 1 species
UACGUAGGGUGCAAGCGUUGUCCGGAAUUAUUGGGCGUAAAGAGCUCGUAGGCGGUCUGUUGCGUCGGCUGUGAAAACCCGGGGCUCAACCCCGGGCCUGCAGCCGAUACGGGCAGACUAGAGUUCGGCAGGGGAGACUGGAAUUCCUGGUGUAGCGGUGAAAUGCGCAGAUAUCAGGAGGAACACCGGUGGCGAAAGCGCGAGACUGGGCCGUAACUGACGCUGAGGAACGAAAGCCAGGGGAGCGAAAGGG